UGGUUCGUAACUCAAUUGGAUCAGAGUACCGGUCUUUUACACCGGGAGUUGUGAGUUCGAGUCUCACCAGGCCAA
rnacentral:tRNA from 2 species